AGCUGGGGGAAUGAUCUGAUAUUUCAUUUUCAUUGCAUUCCAGUACUCCAUCAACAUUCCAAUAUUGUUCCAAUAUUGUUGAUUUGGCUGAUCUGGUUGGCUAGGCUGGUAUCCCUUCCCUCACUCACUGCUCAAUGUGCAUCCCUCCCAAAACUGCACACUCAGUCAAAGGACAACCAUCCCCAAUAGAAGAGAAACAGUCUUCAGUCAAGGGUACACGAGUAGCUACACUCCCCUGCUAGAACCUCCAAACAAAUUCUCAAGGUCCAAUAUUUAUAUAUUUUAAUAUGCUAGAUAAUAUGACUGAAUUGUUACAGUAUCUUUAUCCAUGUCAUAGGUAAGAACUAUGUAUUU
rfam:Ovis aries breed Texel chromosome 1, whole genome shotgun sequence.